GGUGAAGGAACAUCAAAGGGAAAGGAGAUAGCUAGAGAUUAGAAGAGGAAAAGAAAGGAGGAAUUCAAGAAAGGUUGUAGAUAAAAUAGGGCAACAGAAGUUAUCAGAGAUCUACAUCAGAUAUCAAGGCCAUCAUCAUAGCUGGUUGUUUUGAGUCUCGGAGUCAUAGUACAGUUUUAUUUUGGCAUGUACAUAUUAAAUAGAGUGAGUUGUGAAGGUUAUGUAAAUCAAAGAAUAGUAAGAUAUCAAGUGACAGUUGUUAGUGUUAUUAUAAGUGUGAUGUUCAUAUGUAUUACAGGUUAAAGUGCUAAUGAAACAGAGAAAACUCUGCCGAAAAUUUUGGUUUAAAAAUCUCACGCUUAUUUUAAUCUUGAUGAAAGUUACUUACAUAACUAAAAUUGGUAUUUACAGAUAAAGGUAAUUGUUUAGUCUUGAUAUGUCUAAAAGGUAUAGUUUGUGACAUUCCUUACUCUGUCUACACUUUGAUAGGGUAAGGGGUGUUACAAUUAGUGGUAUCAGAGCAAAGGUUUAGGCGAUUCUAGGUCAUAGUAUGUAUGUGUAUAUGUGUCAUAUAUAUACAUGCCAAAAAUGAGUUACAGCUAUGGUAUGGUUCUGAUGUAAAUCUCUUCUUUGUGU